rnacentral:rRNA from 1 species
GCAUAACAUUUACCAGGUGUGCCUCAAGACCUUCGCUGCGAUUGUAUACACUCUGGUGUAAAAGGGCGGGGGAUUAUCGACACGGCCAAUCUGGUGUCAGCCGUCGCGGUAAUACCAAAUCUCCUAGUGGUAGGAAUCAUUAUUGGGCCUAAAACGUACGUAGCCGAUCUUCCAGGUCUUUCCUUAAGUCCACGAAUUCAACUCGAUGAACUGCGACCCAUACUGAAAGGCUAUGGAACUAGAAAGCCGACGGUAUUUCUGGGGUAGGGGUAAAAUCCUAUAAUCCCAGGAGGACCACCAGUGGCGUAGGCGGUCGGCUAGCACGCGCUCGACGGUGAGGGACGAAAGCUGGGGGAGCAAACCGGAUUAGAUACCCGGGUAGUCCCAGCUGUAAACGAUGCGGGCUAAGUGUUGGAGCGGCUACCAGCCGCUUCAGUGCCGCAGGGAAGCCAUUAAGCCCGCCGCCUGGGGAGUACGGCCGCAAGGCUGAAACUUAAAGGAAUUGGCG